rfam:Pseudoflavonifractor capillosus ATCC 29799 B_capillosus-2.0.1_Cont255, whole genome shotgun sequence.
GGGGGCGUACUGGUUUCGACGGGGUAAAUACUUGCAGACAAGCAUGGGGAAGCGUGGACCUUCCUAAAAAUCCACACAAGCAUAAAUGCCAAUCAGAAUUCUUUUGAGGUGCCCGUAGCGGCUUAACCUCUUACCGGAGCUGUUGUUCCGGGACAUCUCACACGGCAACAGUGCCCCAUCCUACUACACCGUGUGGGCGGCAUUGAAGAUGGGACAAACCAGGCAAGGGGCAAGCCAUGCGCCUGGAAAGUAAGAAAUGGCUGUCCGCUAGGUCUAUGGAGGAUGCCAACCACCAAGGACUGGUGUAAGUAAAAAUGGCUAACCAUGUAGAAACUCUGUAUAGGUUUAUUUCGGACGCGGGUUCGAUUCCCGCCGCCUCCACCA